rnacentral:other from 1 species
UACAAGCUGCGUUGUACGUAACGAUAAUUAAGUUUUAACCUUUAAGCUGUAACAGGGAGUUUAACAUCGGAACAUGAAUGACAAACCUCUGACUAUAGUCAGGGAGGGCAUGCAGGAGUGUUUCUUGAGAACACCCACUUUUAGGAGUGGUGGUUUAAAACUUUCUUAGUAUAAUGAUACGGCAAAAGCGGCUCUUUC